UACGUAGGGCGCAAGCGUUGUCCGGAAUUAUUGGGCGUAAAGAGCUCGUAGGCGGCCUGUUGCGUCCGCUGUGAAAUCCCGGGGCUCAACCCCGGGCGUGCAGUGGAUACGGGCUGGCUGGAGGCAGGCAGGGGAGAACGGAAUUCCUGGUGUAGCGGUGAAAUGCGCAGAUAUCAAGUGGAACACCAGUGGCGAAGGCGAGUCUCUGGACAUUUCCUGACGCUGAGGCACGAAAGCCAGGGGAGCAAACGGG
rnacentral:rRNA from 1 species